rfam:Desulfobulbaceae bacterium S3730MH12 k99_385839, whole genome shotgun sequence.
GCUGGCGUAGCUCAAUUGGUAGAGCUCCUCACUUGUAAUGAGGUUGUUGUGGGUUCAAGUCCUAUCGCCAGCU